AUUGAACGCUGGCGGCAGGCUUAACACAUGCAAGUCGAACGAGUGGCGGACGGGUGAGUAAUGCAUGGGAAACUUGCCUAUGGAGGGGGAUAACUACGGGAAACUGUAGCUAAUACCGCGUACCAUAGGAUGAGCCCAAGUGGGAUUAGGUAGUUGGUGGGGUAAAGGCUCACCAAGGCGACGAUCUCUAGCUGUUCUGAGAGGAUGACCAGCCACACUGGGACUGAGACACGGCCCAGACUCCUACGGGAGGCAGCAGUGGGGAAUCUUGCGCAAUGGGGGCAACCUGACGCAGCCAUGCCGCGUGAAUGAAGAAGGCCUUCGGGUUGUAAAGUACUUGCGGUAGCAAGGCGUUACCUGCAGAAGAAGCACCGGCUAACUCCGUGCCAGCAGCCGCGGUAAUAC
rnacentral:rRNA from 1 species